GGUUAAGCGACUAAGCGUACACGGUGGAUGCCCUGGCAGUCAGAGGCGAUGAAGGGCGUGCUAAUCUGCGAUAAGCGCCGGUAAGGUGAUAUGAACCGUUAUAACCGGCGAUACCCGAAUGGGGAAACCCAGUGUGAUUCGUCACACUAUCAUUAACUGAAUCCAUAGGUUAAUGAGGCGAACCGGGGGAACUGAAACAUCUAAGUACCCCGAGGAAAAGAAAUCAACCGAGAUUCCCCCAGUAGCGGCGAGCGAACGGGGAGGAGCCCAGAGCCUGAAUCAGCAUGUGUGUUAGUGGAAGCGUCUGGAAAGGCGCGCGAUACAGGGUGACAGCCCCGUACACAAAAGCGCAUGUGCUGUGAGCUCGAUGAGUAGGGCGGGACACGUGGUAUCCUGUCUGAAUAUGGGGGGACCAUCCUCCAAGGCUAAAUACUCCUGACUGACCGAUAGUGAACCAGUACCGUGAGGGAAAGGCGAAAAGAACCCCGGCGAGGGGAGUGAAAAAGAACCUGAAACCGUGUACGUACAAGCAGUGGGAGCACAGGUUUACCUGUGUGACUGCGUACCUUUUGUAUAAUGGGUCAGCGACUUAUAUUCUGUAGCAAGGUUAACCGAAUAGGGGAGCCGGAGGGAAACCGAGUCUUAAUUGGGCGUUAAGUUGCAGGGUAUAGACCCGAAACCCGGUGAUCUAGCCAUGGGCAGGUUGAAGGUUGGGUAACACUAACUGGAGGACCGAACCGACUAAUGUUGAAAAAUUAGCGGAUGACCUGUGGCUGGGGGUGAAAGGCCAAUCAAACCGGGAGAUAGCUGGUUCUCCCCGAAAGCUAUUUAGGUAGCGCCUCGUGAAUUCAUCUCCGGGGGUAGAGCACUGUUUCGGCUAGGGGGCCAUCCCGGCUUACCAACCCGAUGCAAACUGCGAAUACCGGAGAAUGUUAUCACGGGAGACACACGGCGGGUGCUAACGUCCGUCGUGAAGAGGGAAACAACCCAGACCGCCAGCUAAGGUCCCAAAGUCAUGGUUAAGUGGGAAACGAUGUGGGAAGGCCCAGACAGCCAGGAUGUUGGCUUAGAAGCAGCCAUCAUUUAAAGAAAGCGUAAUAGCUCACUGGUCGAGUCGGCCUGCGCGGAAGAUGUAACGGGGCUAAACCAUGCACCGAAGCUGCGGCAGCGACACUGUGUGUUGUUGGGUAGGGGAGCGUUCUGUAAGCCUGUGAAGGUGUGUCGUGAGGCAUGCUGGAGGUAUCAGAAGUGCGAAUGCUGACAUAAGUAACGAUAAAGCGGGUGAAAAGCCCGCUCGCCGGAAGACCAAGGGUUCCUGUCCAACGUUAAUCGGGGCAGGGUGAGUCGACCCCUAAGGCGAGGCCGAAAGGCGUAGUCGAUGGGAAACGGGUUAAUAUUCCCGUACUUGGUGUUACUGCGAAGGGGGGACGGAGAAGGCUAUGUUGGCCGGGCGACGGUUGUCCCGGUUUAAGCGUGUAGGUGUGUGUUCCAGGUAAAUCCGGUUCACUUUAACACUGAGGCGUGACGACGAGGCACUACGGUGCUGAAGCAACAAAUGCCCUGCUUCCAGGAAAAGCCUCUAAGCAUCAGGUAACAUCAAAUCGUACCCCAAACCGACACAGGUGGUCAGGUAGAGAAUACCAAGGCGCUUGAGAGAACUCGGGUGAAGGAACUAGGCAAAAUGGUGCCGUAACUUCGGGAGAAGGCACGCUGACACGUAGGUGAAGUGAUUUACUCAUGGAGCUGAAGUCAGUCGAAGAUACCAGCUGGCUGCAACUGUUUAUUAAAAACACAGCACUGUGCAAACACGAAAGUGGACGUAUACGGUGUGACGCCUGCCCGGUGCCGGAAGGUUAAUUGAUGGGGUCAGCGCAAGCGAAGCUCCUGAUCGAAGCCCCGGUAAACGGCGGCCGUAACUAUAACGGUCCUAAGGUAGCGAAAUUCCUUGUCGGGUAAGUUCCGACCUGCACGAAUGGCGUAAUGAUGGCCAGGCUGUCUCCACCCGAGACUCAGUGAAAUUGAACUCGCUGUGAAGAUGCAGUGUACCCGCGGCAAGACGGAAAGACCCCGUGAACCUUUACUAUAGCUUGACACUGAACAUUGAGCCUUGAUGUGUAGGAUAGGUGGGAGGCUUUGAAGUGUGGACGCCAGUCUGCAUGGAGCCGACCUUGAAAUACCACCCUUUAAUGUUUGAUGUUCUAACGUGGACCCGUUACCCGGGUUGCGGACAGUGUCUGGUGGGUAGUUUGACUGGGGCGGUCUCCUCCUAAAGAGUAACGGAGGAGCACGAAGGUUGGCUAAUCCUGGUCGGACAUCAGGAGGUUAGUGCAAUGGCAUAAGCCAGCUUGACUGCGAGCGUGACGGCGCGAGCAGGUGCGAAAGCAGGUCAUAGUGAUCCGGUGGUUCUGAAUGGAAGGGCCAUCGCUCAACGGAUAAAAGGUACUCCGGGGAUAACAGGCUGAUACCGCCCAAGAGUUCAUAUCGACGGCGGUGUUUGGCACCUCGAUGUCGGCUCAUCACAUCCUGGGGCUGAAGUAGGUCCCAAGGGUAUGGCUGUUCGCCAUUUAAAGUGGUACGCGAGCUGGGUUUAGAACGUCGUGAGACAGUUCGGUCCCUAUCUGCCGUGGGCGCUGGAGAACUGAGGGGGGCUGCUCCUAGUACGAGAGGACCGGAGUGGACGCAUCACUGGUGUUCGGGUUGUCAUGCCAAUGGCACUGCCCGGUAGCUAAAUGCGGAAGAGAUAAGUGCUGAAAGCAUCUAAGCACGAAACUUGCCCCGAGAUGAGUUCUCCCUGAGACUUAGAGUCUCCUGAAGGAACGUUGAAGACGACGACGUUGAUAGGCCGGGUGUGUAAGCGCAGCGAUGCGUUGAGCUAACCGGUACUAAUGAACCGUGAGGCUUAACCUU
rnacentral:rRNA from 4 species